CAGGGUAAUUGCUUGAGCUCGGCAGUUUGAGGUUAUAGUGAGCUAUGACCGUCACUGCACCCAAGGUUGGGUACUAAGGGAGAUCCUGUGUCUAUAAAAAUAAUUUUUAAAAAACUGAGAUUGCCCAAGAUCAGUUAGUAUGUGAUAGGACCAUGGUUUAAACUCCAUUCCUCCAGCUGCACAGCCCCCGUUCUUUUGGCUGCCAUGAUGCUUUCCUUCUUUCUUGGACAGACAAAGAAUAUGGGGAGGCUGAAGGCUGCUGAGUGGAGAUGUUCGGCCCCCAAGCCAACCCCAAAAGCAUAGAUUAUGUUCCUUGCACCCUUGCACAAAGCCAGCCAGCCCACCCUGACUUGGAUAAAUCACCCUGCAUCACUCCCUGAGACAAGGAUGUUAAGUCUGGAUGCUCAUAGCUGUAGGCAGCAUGGUUGACCCGCUCAGUUCUCCCCGUGUUGCAUUCUGUCUUAUACAUCCUCAAUUUUCUUUUACAUUGUUUUGGCAUUUCUUUCUUUAGUGGUGACAGCAGACAGAUGUGGAGACGUAGCUCCUAAGAGCUAUACCAUUUGCAAAUGUCAGAAAAAUGCAAGGCUUCUGGAAGUUCAUUGCCCUCAGCUCCCCAAGAGGGUUGCUCUUUCACCAAGGAAUGGUGGAAUCACAGGUGUUACAGGCUUAGCAUCUUCCUAGUGUGCUUUGAAGGAACUGUUCAUAAACUUGUUGGAGUCUCAUCCUACUUGGCCAGUGUGGCUGUCAUCAAUGGUCUCCCCCAAGUCUAAUCUCAUUCCCUCAUGCUGCAAUUCCUCCUUCUUGCGGCCAUUAAGAGCACAUGAUCUAAGGGGACUUGCUGAAUGCAAUUCUACCUAGCCUACACUUGUAUUCUGUCUCCCUCCAUCUUCAUGAGCAGUGAAUUUAUAAAUAUAUAUAACAAUAAAAAUAUUGUAAGCAAAUGAUAUCCACUUAGAAGUCUGCAAGGAAAAGAGAUGAGUUGCUUGAGUGAAUUUGGUAUGACAUUCCUAAGACAUUUAGGCAUGAAUGUGAAAUGACAUGUGUGAUUUGAAAGUUAGGAGCACCACAGAAAUAUCCUUUGGAAAUAAUGAAGCAGCAGCAGUUGAGGAGAAGGAUGGUAGAAUCCUCUCUGGGCAGCCCAGAGUUUCACAGCCUCAGUCUUCCCUAUGACCCUAAGCCAAUCCCAAGGGCAUAGAUUUUGUUCCUUGCAACCACUGUACAUACAUAUAUUAAAUACUUAUAUAGAAUGAGGACAGCUUGUAUUUGUUAAAAACAGUUUCAUGUUUUGAAAGCACUGUUCAUGGUCAUUAAUUUAUUUAAUCUCAUUCAAGCAUCAAAACAACCCAGUUAAUGGGAUGUGGUGAUUUAAAUCCCUAUUUUGAAAAUGAGGAAACAGAGACCACAGAAACUCAGCAACUUGUCCAAGGUCAAAGCCGGUGAAUGAUGAGAAUAUGAUUCAUGCCCAGGUGUCCAGAGUCAAACUCCCGUGUUUUCUCCCUGACAAGGAAAGGGUGUUUGUACCAGAUUUAUUUAUAGGUAUAGGAUGUUCACACCCUACCCUACCUCUGUCUCUGUCUUGUACCUGUGUCUCUAUUGUUCUCUUUCCUCUCUCUCACCUUCUUUCUCUCUGUCUCACCUUGGAUUUAAAUUUACUCCAGGGUGAACAUGCAGAAAAGCUUUGUUAUACCAUGAUUUCACCUACAAUGUGAUCCUAUGACAGGGACCCCAAGAGUGACCUUGUAAUGAGACCUUAAUAAAUUGCUCUGGGGUCCAGAGCUGGCUGCAUGCCCUGGUGCCCUAUAGCACAUAAAAUCCUCAUUAGGGGAACCCUGUAUGAUAACAUCCACGACAACAUAGACUCACACAGGGGGAGAGAAGAUCGAAGUUGCUUAGAGUCAAACCCCCAGAUGUUUGGGGCCCUUCCUGGUCCCUCCUUUACAUUCAUCACACUUUGAUGUAUCUGCAUGUCCAGUGUCUCUCUCCCCAUUAGAUGGAGCUACAUAGGGCAGGAGCUGUAUGUGCUUUGUUAACGGUUGUCCCCUCGGUCUAUAGCAUCAUGUCAGUCAUUAGGUAAGUCCUCACAAAGAGAGGGGGCACAAGUGCACGAAUAAAUACAUGAAGUAUUGAUGGAAUAACAGUAAUUUCACGUCACUCUUCCCAGAAGCACAUUUUGCAAGAUUCUCAUUGAAGAUGCAGCUUAACCUCUUCAGGAUUCUCACAGGGAAGGAGUGAGUUCCACAUGAACAACCUGUUCUGGAAUGAGUGGUGAUAAGAUGGGAUGAGAGCAUUUUCCCAGUGUUUCUCAAAUGGUUCCAGGCAGACCCUUGGGUAUUAACUCACCCCCAACACCAAAAUCAAGAGCAGUUGGACCUCAAGGAAAAGGAAACUUGGGGAAACUGAGAAAAGGGGCAGCUGGGGCCUGACUUCAUUCUAUCAGGGUUCCCUCCCUGUGAGCCUCUGGUUAUUCUAUCCUGAAUACAAGGCAGAUAUGGAGAGGUUCUGACAUAGGGCCUAGAAAGUGAGGUUCCUAUGAAACAACAAAAAUUGAAACUAACUUCUGGCCUUGCUGGGUCUGUUAUUGGAAUUAAUGCUCAUCUUUUUUAAUUUAUUCAAACUGAAGACACUUUCUGGCAAGGUGUUAGAUUGCCAAUGAAAUGUCAGCCAAGGGUUUACGAAGUCAAGGUCUGAGAAACUUGUGUCAGUUUAGGCUCUGGGUAAAAAUUCACAUGAGAUUUAGCAGUCUUGCAGGUACAUUUGUUAAAUAGUCUUUUGCAUGUCCUAGACUAAAACCUUGCAAGGAGCUGUAUAUAACGUUAACGACAAAGGCCAAAUGGCCUCUUCUAUCCAAAGUAAGGACAGACUGAUGGAUGAACUGUGGAAGGCACACUAGAGUGAUCUUCUUCCCCAGUAUAAGAGCAGAAAAGAACUGAACAUUUUCUAAGUUUCAAUUCAAACCUUGAUCAAAGAUCCAAUCAAAAUGAACCUUAUCAAUAACAACUUGUAUGGAAUAUUGAAUAUGUACCAGGCUUCAUGCUAAGCACCUUUCAUUUAUAUUGAUCAAUUAGUCUUCUCAAUGAUUUCAUGAAGUGGGUUUUAUUAUUUGCUCUAUUUGAUUGAAAAUGAAAGAGAGGAACAGAAGUUCCCAAACUUCAUUCAACAUGACCAAGCUUGCAAACCAGCAAAGACCAGGAUUAAAGCCUGGGCAGUUAGCCUCUGGAACUCUUGCCCUUAUCAUUGGUUAGGUAAUGAAUCCAACAUUCAGGAAUAUAACCAAUAUGCUCAUUACAGGUUUAGUUGCAGUUUCAGACUCCUUAUGGUUGGCAGAUAGUUAAGCCUCAUAGUACAACAUUUUUUCUUCUUUUAGUUCGUAGUACAAAGAGAAAGCACUAGAAUAAUUAACUGGAAAAUUCAUUCUUCAAAUGCUUUGCUUUAUACCAACAAAUUGGACAGGUCAAGAUGUCCUCCUGUCACCUGGGAUUCUGAAGAAACAUCUAGAUACUCCUAGAAGUGAAGUUACAUAUGUGGAUGUUUAUAUGAAGAAUAAAGGACACAAGAAAGGAUUCAAGACAUGAAAAACGGUGGAGGAAGGUAAACAUUUCAAGAUUCAGAUCAUGUUGCUGCCCAAAUUCAGAGUGUCUCUAAGGAAAUAGCUAGAAGGGGUUUUCAACUCUCAGCUUCCUUCCAAGGAAUAAAGAGUUUGCUGUGAGCAAAGAACAUGCCAAGAAAAUGCCAAUUUGUGUCACACUAACAUCUUUCUUAAGGCUGAACGUGGACUUCGGAAAUGUGAAUCUUUGGCUCUGGUGAACGGAGUCAGCCUUGAGGGUUUGAAAUUAGGUUCUUCAGAAAGACAGAGGGAAAUCUGAGAGAUCAACUUAGACACCCACUAAGUGGAAAAUGCACCCACACCAGAGACUCAUUUGCAAUGAGUGGCGGGGUCAACCUUUCCAUGGCACCUGACGUGAACUCAGAAAAAUGAAAUCCCUGAAAACACGUUUGGAAAUGAUUUCAUCGAAGACAGAGAGAGACAGCCACUGCUGGAGGGAGGAAGAGAGGACAAAAGGCAAACCAAAGUGAGACGCUGUAAUCGAGAAGACUUGGCGAGAACAAAUGGAAGAACAUUUGAACUUUUUUUGUGGCAGACAAAACAACCUUCAAAGGCUACCUUCUUCCUAGUUGAUAGGAUAAAAUCAACAUGUAAGAUGGCCAUUUUUAUUCUUUUUUGGUUUGUGGGACCAGUGCUUUGGAAGAUAAGAAUGAACGAUCACAGUGCCUGGCUCUAGGACUCAAUACGUAUUGUUAAAUGCAUGAACAGAGCUGAACUAUAUAGAACCAGGGUACUGUUUCCUAGAACAGAUGAAGACCUGAUCACCUCAGAACUCUCAUGAGGUAUCAGUAGAGAAUUUGACAGGGACCUGAGUUAGAAGUUAUGUGAACUUGGGCAUGUAACUUCACCUUGCUGAGUCUACAUUUCAUUACCUGAAAAAGCAAAGGUGAGUUUCAUGAGUGAGCUUUAAUUACAGGAAGAUUUUAUGUGUAUUUUUGGGGAAAGAGAUUUCAUACAUGGCUUGUGUUGGAUUCAUAGAAGGCCAUGAUGCAAGAUACAGUUAAGAACCACUGGAUAUUUCUUUUAAACUGGAAGAGUCUAUGACUCUGAGAUUUCAGGGAUGAUUUUCCUCCCUGGAAAGACAAUUGGAAUAUCAGACCCCACAGCUCUGCCAAUUUUGUUACCUUGUAGGAGGCCUGUGGCUGACUGAUUUGACUGAAACGGGGAGAAGAGGAUGUUGUUCCUGUCAACCCAGCCUCAGAUUCCUCAGCAAUUUAAGAAGCAUUAUUGAUCUGAUCAGCCACUCUAGAGUGUAACUGACCAUUGAAAAAAGCAAAUCAUUGAAAGACACCUGCUCCUAUCAGAAAAUGACACUGGCAACAUGUAACCUCUGACACAGCUCUUUCUGUAGAAUGUUUCCUCUUUUUUCUUCCUUUCUUUAAGUGGGCAUGUUCACAGUGGACUCUGUCACAAGGCUAUUAGAAUUACUAGUUAAUGAUAGGGGAAAGCAUUGGGAAAGAUGAGAGAUACACUCCUGCUCUUAAGGCUAUUCUUCAGAACAAUAUGCAAUGAUAUUUUUGUUGAAUGGACACACUUAGCAGUCACUCUGAUUUGGAGACUUGUCAACAAUGAUGUAAUGCUGGCCAGUUAACAUGAGCAGUUAAAGAAAAUGUUACAACCUAGAAGCUAUUGUCAGUGUAAAACUCUGGCGCAGAAAGCUUGUCCCAGCAAUUUAUAAUGAGGCAAUACUCUUAAUGAUUUUUGGCUUCAUGCAUUAAUGAACAGAUUUAAAGGAUAAAGGACUUACAAUGUAAUAAGGAAAACUCAAGAAAAGAUUCGGCUCCAAUCAAAAUAAAUUGUGUUUUUAGAUUUAUUUUCAUAAAUUCAGCUGUUUCCCUUUAUUUAUACCAAAAAGAAAUGCAUCAUGCUAAGCUGAUUUUUAUAAUUCAGAAAAAAGAAUGGAUAUUAUAUUUUAAUAUAAUAUCCACAAAUUGCAAAUGUCAACUUAAAAGAAAAAAAUCAUAUAAAGGCAAGAAUAGAGCAUCUAUUCUUGCUAGGUAGAGAAAAAUAAUUCCUAUAAAGGUCAGUAAAUUCAUUUCCCCUUUCUAAAUAGUACCUGUUGUUUAAUUGAAGAGUUGAUUAGCACCAUUAAAAAACCCACCUAAAAUAGCAAUUCUAUGAAUAAUAGCAAUGAAAUAUAUUAUGAUUACCUUUGCUUUCUAUUCUUUCUCCUCCCUCCCAGUCUCUUCUAAAUAAAUGAUGCUCCUUACUCCCCAUCAGGCAUCCAAAACCAAGAGGAGACAAUUUCUUCCAAGAAUGUGCAUUAAGAACUCCAGUUUACUUCAUCUGUAAAGUCCUAUAGGCAGUACUACCAAAUAAUGAGUCAAAAUCACUCUAUUUAGCACCUAACUAUUCUAGAGUUGUCCAUAUCUUUAUGUUCUGUCUUUUCAGCAUGAAAGCAGAAACUUCUACUCUAUCUGCAAUUUUCUUUCUUCCACUGGCAGCAAUAAUUUUUAAACAGUACUUGGCAUCGGCCAGGCAUG